ACGAUCCAAAGCAUAGGUUUUCAUCCCUGACCAUCUUGGUAAUAACCAUUGAUGAACCUGUCCUUCAUGAUGAAUUUAUCUAAUUCUUUAUUGAACCC